AAUGAACGUUGGCGGCAUGGAUUAGGCAUGCAAGUCGAGCGAGAAGAGUUUUGAAGCUUGCUUUAGAACUCGGACAGCGGCGAAAGGGAGAGUAACGCGUAGUUAUGUGCCCUAGGGUCCGGAAUAGCCACGGGAAACUGUGGGUAAUGCCGGAUAACAUCCCCGGAUCAAAGGUGUGAUUCCGCCCUAGGAGCAGACUGCGUCCUACUAGCUAGUUGGUGGGGUAAUGGCCCACCAAGGCAAUGAUGGGUAGCGGGUGUGAGAGCAUGACCCGUCGCACUGGGACUGAGACACUGCCCAGACACCUUCGGGUGGCUGCAGUCGAGAAUCUUUGGCAAUGGGCGAAAGCCUGACCGAGCGAUGCCGCGUGCGGGAUGAAGGCCCUCGGGUUGUAAACCGCUGUCGUAGGGGAGGAAGGUUCCGUGAAGAGCGGAAUUUGACCUAUCCUAGGAGGAAGUACGGGCUAAGUUCGUGCCAGCCGCCGCAGUAA
rnacentral:rRNA from 1 species